rnacentral:rRNA from 1 species
UACGUAGGGGGCUAGCGUUGUCCGGAUUUAUUGGGCGUAAAGAGCGUGUAGGCGGCCAGGUAGGUCUGGUGUGAAAACUCGAGGCUUAACCUCGAGAUGUCAUCGGAAACCAUUUGGCUAGAGUCCGGAAGAGGAGAGUGGAAUUCCCAGUGUAGAGGUGAAAUUCGUAGAUAUUGGGAAGAACACCGGUGGCGAAGGCGGCAACCUGGUCCUUGACUGACGCUGAGGCGCGAAAGCGUGGGGAGCAAACAGG